rnacentral:lncRNA from 1 species
UAGUGGAAAAGGAAAAGUUGGAAACGAAGCCUAUUUGGAAAAACAUCUUCCGACCUUGCCAACGUUGGGAGCAAGGCAGGAAGCAUUCGAUAUUAACUUUGAAUGGGAUGCUAGUUUUGGAAUUCCAGGAGCAUUUUACAUCAAAAACUUUAUGACUGAUGAGUUUUUCCUCGUCAGUGUUAAACUCGAGGACAUUCCAAACCAUGGAACCAUUAACUUCGUUUGUAACUCAUGGGUUUAUAACUUCAAAAGUUACAAAAAGAAUCGCAUUUUCUUUGUCAAUGAUGUAAGUUCUGCACCUAGCUACUCAUUUGUUUCAAAGUCUAAGGCUUUGUUUGGAUAAAAGUUACGUUCAACAUAACUAUCGUUUAUCUCGACGAGACAACAUACUUACGUCUCAGUUCGGUGCAUCAAAAAGCGUGUUUCUCCAUUUGACAAGCUUCAAACUGCAAUCAAAACACACACUAAGUUCUAUUUUGCUAAUGUGUACAAAAUUUGGCCCAGUUUUUUUUUUCCAAUUAUAGUCCUACACAUUUUUAUUUAAAUUCUUUAAUGACUAAGUUCAUGAAUUAUAUUGCAGACAUAUCUUCCGAGUGCUACACCAGGUCCACUAGUUAAGUACAGACAAGAAGAAUUGGAGGUUUUAAGAGGAGAUGGAACAGGGAAGCGCAGAGACUUUGACAGAAUCUAUGAUUAUGAUAUCUAUAAUGAUUUGGGCAAUCCAGAUGGUGGUGAUCCUCGCCCAAUCAUUGGAGGCUCUAGCAACUAUCCUUACCCUCGCAGGGUUAGAACCGGUAGAGAAAAGACCAGGAAAGGUUAGAAUUUUAUAUUUUUGUAAGACUUAAAUAUGUUUUACAUUCUUCAUAAAUUAUCUAUUUUUAUUUUAGGUCCUAAAUUUUUUUUCGUUGCAUUAGAUUUUUGAUAUAUCAAAACUUUUGUUAACAACAUGUUACAAUGUGACUGUAGAAUUGUUUUAUUGUAUUGAGAACAUAUAUCUGGAAAGAAUAUAUAUCUCCCAUUGUAAGAAUAACAUACUAGUAUGAUUGUUUGUUGAUAUUUAUAUUACCAUUGCUUGAUCGGUAACAGAUCCCAACAGUGAGAAACCAGGCGAGAUAUAUGUUCCAAGAGAUGAAAACUUCGGUCACUUGAAGUCAUCUGAUUUCCUUACAUAUGGAAUCAAAUCCUUAUCUCAGAACGUGAUACCUUUGUUCAAAUCUAUAAUAUUUGACUUAAGGGUCACAUCGAGUGAGUUCGAUAGCUUCGACGAAGUGCGUGGUCUCUUUGAAGGUGGAAUCAAGCUGCCAACAAAUAUACUGAGCCAAAUUAGCCCCUUACCAGUCCUCAAGGAAAUCUUCCGCACUGAUGGUGAAAAUACCCUUCAAUUUCCACCACCUCAUGUAAUCAGAGGUACUUUGAUUAUACAUCGUGGUCAAAACAACUUAAUAUAUUAGCAUUUGUUGAAUUAAUACAAUUUGACAAUUAUUUUCUUUCUGAUUUGAGCAGUUAGUAAAUCUGGAUGGAUGACUGAUGAUGAGUUUGCAAGAGAGAUGAUUGCUGGUGUAAAUCCAAAUGUAAUUCGUCGUCUUCAAGUAAGUCCAAAUGUUUUGUUUUAUUAUCGGGUCCCCUAUAUGAGUAUAUGUCAUUUUUCCUAAUAUCAAUUUUUAAUAAUGGCAGGAGUUCCCACCAAAAAGCACUCUUGAUCCCGCAACCUAUGGUGAUCAAACUAGUACCAUAACAAAACAACAGUUGGAGAUUAACUUGGGUGGGGUCACAGUAGAAGAGGUACUUUAUAUAUAUGUAUAUUAGUAGAUGAGGUACUGAUAUACAUGUUCCACUCUAAAAUAUCAUUGAAUUUCUAGCUAGCUAGCAUGACUCUUGCUAUAUUCUCUUAUAAUUUCUUUUAAAUAAUCCUUCUAAAUACAACAAAAAAAAAUACACUAAAUAAAUAUUAUAAAAAAAAGUCAAUAUUUAAUUUCUCUACUUGGAUUUUGAAUUAUUCUUGUUAGUAUAGACUAUAGAGGCACUUAAAGUCAUAUGGUUAAUUUGUAAUUUGAACUUAUGAAGCAUUGUGUCUGAAUAUAAAUUUUGUGGAACAGGCAAUUAGUGCUCACAGAUUAUUCAUAUUAGAUUACCAUGAUGCAUUCUUCCCGUAUUUGACGAAGAUAAACAGCCUACCUAUUGCAAAAGCUUAUGCCACAAGGACAAUCCUGUUCUUGAAAGACGAUGGAUCUUUAAAGCCACUUGCUAUCGAAUUAAGCAAGCCUGCAACAGUGAGUAAAGUGGUGUUGCCUGCAACAGAAGGUGUUGAGAGUACAAUUUGGUUGUUGGCCAAGGCUCAUGUCAUUGUGAAUGACUCUGGUUAUCAUCAGCUCAUAAGCCAUUGGUAAGAACUUCCUUAGCAAUACUUAGUCCAUGUAAACUGUAUAGCGUAUGUGCAUAUGAAAUUAUUAUUGAUCAUUUCUUUUUUUGUCGGGGUUAUAGGUUAAAUACUCAUGCAGUGAUGGAGCCAUUUGCCAUAGCAACAAACAGGCAUCUCAGUGUGCUUCACCCCAUUUAUAAACUUCUUUAUCCUCACUACAAGGACACAAUAAAUAUCAAUGGCCUUGCUAGGCAGUCCCUGAUUAACGCAGGUGGCAUUAUUGAGCAAACAUUUUUGCCUGGAAAGUACUCCAUUGAAAUGUCAUCAGUUGUUUACAAGAAUUGGGUUUUCACUGACCAAGCAUUACCAGCUGAUCUUGUCAAGAGGUAAUCAUCAUUAAAUAUACUACUUCACCUGCAAAAAGAAUAUAUAAAAUUUUGAGUUAUUGAUAAGGCAUUUAAAUGGGGUUUAACUUUUAUGUAUGGUUAAUCUAAAAUAAUUUGUCCUGUCAAUCAAUCAGAAAUCAAAUCACGUAUGACUUCUAAAGUAGUUAUUGUCAAAAUUAAUGAACUUACCAUAUACCAGUAUAUCAAUUGGUGAUUUGGUGACCUGUGGUCCAUGGACUAUUUAUUCUUCAAGACAUUAUGGAUUGAAAUGUUUUUUUUUUUUAAUUGCAACAUGAACAAUUCUAGUUAUGGGACAACAAAAACAAUAAUUUCCAUUUAUAUUGGAAAAAAUUCAGAGAGGUUUGUUGAAUUUGUCAUUAACAUUUUUCUUUUUUUGUUUUGGCUUGAUUAAGAGGAUUGGCAGUUGAGGAUCCCUCUGCCCCACAUGGUCUUCGCCUUGUGAUAGAGGACUACCCUUAUGCUGUUGAUGGACUUGAAAUAUGGGAUGCUAUUAAGACAUGGGUCCAUGAGUAUGUCUCUGUGUAUUACCCAACAAAUGCAGCAAUUCAACAAGACACUGAACUUCAAGCAUGGUGGAAGGAAGUUGUGGAGAAGGGUCAUGGUGACUUAAAAGAUAAGCCUUGGUGGCCUAAACUGCAGACUGUGGAGGAUCUCAUUCAAUCCUGCUCUAUUAUCAUAUGGACAGCUUCGGCUCUCCAUGCAGCUGUUAAUUUUGGGCAAUACCCUUAUGGAGGUUAUAUCGUGAACCGUCCAACUCUAGCCAGAAGGUUUAUCCCAGAAGAAGGAACCAAAGAAUAUGAUGAGAUGGUGAAGGAUCCUCAAAAGGCAUAUCUGAGAACAAUCACACCCAAGUUCGAGACCCUUAUUGACAUUUCAGUGAUAGAGAUAUUGUCAAGGCAUGCUUCUGAUGAGGUCUACCUUGGCCAAAGGGAUAAUCCAAAUUGGACUACGGAUUCAAAGGCAUUGGAAGCUUUCAAAAAGUUUGGAAACAAACUGGCAGAAAUUGAGGGAAAAAUCACACAGAGGAACAAUGAUCCAAGUCUGAAAAGCCGACAUGGGCCAGUUCAGCUUCCAUACACAUUGCUCCAUCGUUCAAGUGAGGAAGGGAUGAGUUUCAAAGGAAUUCCCAACAGUAUCUCCAUCUAAAAUGUGUGUGUGGUUUGCUUAUCUAUUGUGCUUUUGAAUAAAAUAGACAAUACUUGUCUAUGGUUAUUAUUGGCUGUAUGUCUGUAUUUGGAUGCUCUCGAUCGGUUUGCAAGUAAUAAGAGUGUUUUCACUGUCACUUUGUAUUUCGAUCAUCUUAAUUAUGUUUACUAGUAAUAAUGUGGAAGCUGUACGUUUGUUAAUUCUAGGUUAAAUAAUAGAGCAAUUGUUUUUGAACUAUUUGAGAAUUGUUAAGGUCUCUUCACUAGAUCACUAUGAAAUCCUUUCUCACCACUACCAUGAUUUAUGACCAAGUCCUUCAACUAUGUCACAUGCUUACCUUUCUUGUGAGUCGUAGUCUAGCUACAUGACACAAUUCUUAGGGACCAUAUUCUUGAUAUCACUUCUCUGACUCAUAAACAAAGAUAAUAUAUAUAUAUAUAUAUAUAUAUAUAUGAUCAGUUUUUUUAUUGAUCUACAAUAUCCAUCUCAAUAUUUUAAAUAUAUCAUUGCUUCACAUAUUCCACUGAUUUCCAAAGAAGUCAAUGUAGAAUGACAAUGUGAAAAUCAUUUUUUAUACUAGUGAAUCAGUAUUUCAUGUUUCUUUAGAAAGAUAAUUUUUUUAUAAAUAGUUAUUAAAUGAUUUAUUUUUAUUUAAUAAUUUUAUAAUAAAUAUUUUUUUAUUUUCUUAAUUGGUAGCAUAUUCAUAUAAUUAAAAAUAGAAAAGAUAAUCCGGAACGUCCAAACUCAAUUAAAAAGAAACAUAAAUUAUUAUUUAAAACAUAAACCAUAUUUUUAAAAAAAACCUAACCCAAUGCCACUGUGUAUAUAAGAACAGAAGAAAUCAAAAGAAUCAAUUUGAAUAUAAUUAAGUAUGCAUAGAACGUGUUGCAUAUGGGGGAGGAGGUGCCCAUAGAAAAAUGAAUUAACCGGUGGAGCUCAUAUUAAAAAAAUGAUGUUUAUACUUUCUCCCUUCUCAAGUCCUCUAUAAAUACCAAAAUAUUCUUGGCUUCCUCACACCACAAGCUUCUCCUUCUUUUGGGAAAAGAUUAACAAUAAAAGUGUGGAGUACUGUUGAUAGCAAAGAUGUUUGGGAUCUUCGACAAGGGGCAAAAGAUAAAGGGGACAGUGGUGUUGAUGCCAAAGAAUGUGUUGGACUUCAACGCCAUAACCUCCAUCGGUAAAGGUGGUGUUAUUGACACAGCCACCGGCAUCUUAGGCCAAGGCGUCAGCUUAGUUGGUGGAGUAAUUGAUACUGCCACUUCCUUCUUAGGCCGUAAUAUCUCCAUGCAAUUGAUCAGUGCUACUCAGACUGAUGGUUUGUUCACUCUCAUCCUUCAAACUCUUUUCUGUAAUAACAUUACAUUAUAUUAAUAAUUGUUUUCAAUAAUUCAAAUUUAAUAGUUAUGCACUUACUGACCCCACUGUGUAAAUUAUUUCAUUUACAAAUUAUAUUUGGUAUGACUUUUGACAUAAUAAUAAUUACAAAAUUAUCAUUUUUGUAUUUUGAUCACAGUAUAAAACAAGUCUCGUAUAAUUAUACUAAAGAUUGUAGUACCAAAAUUAGACUCUUAAUAAUUAAUACUACCGCUGACACAUCCCAUGCAUCCAGCUCUAGUUAUUCUUGAAAUAUGCAAGGGCCAAGGCCAAGGAGUCACUUACCUAACUUUACCUUGUAUCUCUUAGGCUUUGAAUAUAUUUUUCUUAGAUAAGAUAACAAAAAAUAUUAUUUUGAUGAAGUUAACUUUACAAAGGAAGAAAAAAUAAAUAAAAAAUUCAUUAUAAGAAUUAAAUUCACAAUUUACGUUCCAACAUUAAAUCCACUACACAACCAGGCUGAUGCAAGUAUCACUUUUUACAGAUUAUUGGUCGAUCACAAUCUCACAAACUCAUCACUUAUAACUAUUUUUUUUAUGAAUUGUUGUUUUGUAUGGUUUUUGCAGGCAGUGGAAAUGGGAAAGUUGGAAAAGAAGUCUAUUUGGAAAAACAUCUUCCGACCUUGCCAACGUUGGGAGCAAGGCAGGAUGCGUUCAGUAUUUUCUUUGAAUGGGAUGCUAGUUUUGGAAUUCCAGGAGCAUUUUACAUCAAAAACUUUAUGACUGAUGAGUUUUUCCUCGUCAGUGUUAAACUCGAGGACAUUCCAAACCAUGGAACCAUUGAAUUUGUUUGCAACUCA